rnacentral:misc_RNA from 1 species
GAAAUGCGAUAAGUAAUGUGAAUUGCAGAAUUCAGUGAAUCAUCGAAUCUUUGAACGCACAUUGCGCCCCCCAGUAUUCUGGAGGGCAUGCCUGUUCGAGCGUCAUUUCAACCAUCAAGCCCCGGGCUUGUGUUGGGGACCUGCGGCUGCCGCAGGCCCCGAAAAGCAGUGGCGGGCUCGCUGUCACACCGAGCGCAGUAGCACAUCUCGCUCAGGGCGUGCGGCGGGCUCCAGCCGUUAAAGCACCCACCUUUCGCAAGGUUGACCUCGGAUCAGGUAGGAAUACCCGCUGAACUUAA